UACGUAGGGUGCAAGCGUUAAUCGGAAUUACUGGGCGUAAAGCGUGCGCAGGCGGUUGUGCAAGACAGAUGUGAAAUCCCCGGGCUCAACCUGGGAAUUGCAUUUGUGACUGCACGGCUAGAGUGUGUCAGAGGGGGGGUAGAAUUCCACGUGUAGCAGUGAAAUGCGUAGAGAUGUGGAGGAAUACCGAUGGCGAAGGCAGCCUCCUGGGCCAACACUGACGCUCAUGCACGAAAGCGUGGGGGAGCAAACAGG
rnacentral:rRNA from 1 species